rnacentral:rRNA from 1 species
AACGAACGCUGGCGGCAUGCCUAACACAUGCAAGUCGAACGAGACCUUCGGGUAUAGUGGCGCACGGGUGCGUAACGCGUGGGAACCUGCCCUUAGGUUCGGAAUAACUCCCCGAAAGGGGUGCUAAUACCGGAUAAUGUCUUCGGACCAAAGAUUUAUCGCCUUUGGAUGGGCCCGCGUUGGAUUAGCUAGUUGGUAGGGUAAAAGCCUACCAAGGCGACGAUCCAUAGCUGGUCUGAGAGGAUGAUCAGCCACACUGGGACUGAGACACGGCCCAGACUCCUACGGGAGGCAGCAGUGGGGAAUAUUGGACAAUGGGCGAAAGCCUGAUCCAGCACUGCCGCGUGAGUGAUGAAGGCCUUAGGGUUGUAAAGCUCUUUUACCCGGGAUGAUAAUGACAGUACCGGGAGAAUAAGCUCCGGCUAACUCCGUG